AAUCAUGCGCAGUGACAGUAUCAUAGUCUAUGAGGUUCAUCUGAGGUGUGAUUAUUGCUAGUUGAAAAUUUUACCCAAUACCUUGCCUUGGUGAUUUGAAAUAUAAUCGUCAAAGGCAAUGUUAGACAGUCUCUAUGGAGA
rnacentral:snRNA from 1 species